rnacentral:rRNA from 1 species
GACGAACGCUGGCGGCGUGCUUAACACAUGCAAGUCGAACGGAAAGGCACUGCGUGUGUGGGGUGCUCGAGGGGCGAACGGGUGCGUAACACGUGAGUAACCUGCCCUUGACUUUGGGAUAACUUAAGGAAACUGGGGCUAAUACCGGAUAGGAGACCCUGCUGCGGGGAGAGGGUGGGAAAGUUUCUGCGGUUGGGGAUGGACUCGCGGCUGAUGGGCUAGUUGGUGGGGUAGGGGAUGACCAAGGAUUUGGCGGGUAGGCCGCCUGGGAGGGUGACCGGGCACCUUGCGCCUGCGGUAGGGCCCAGUCUCCUACGGUAGGCAGCAGGCGGGAACAUUGCCCAAUGGGCCGAAGCCUGUUGCAGCAGCGCCGCGUUCGUGAUGCCGGCCUGUGGGUUGUAAACCGCUUUCGCCUGUGGCGAAGCGUUAGUGACGGUAAUGGGUAAAGAAGCACCGGCUAACUACGUG